GGCAGCCCCUCCUCACAGCAUGAGAGGGAGUUGGGAGGGGCGGCACCCCAAAAAGAAGGCGUGGGCGGAGCCUGGGCAGAUGGAACCCUAGCUGUAAUAUAAAGAAGCAUGAAGAACCUCGUGUGAAAUGAAACCUUGUUGGACACAUCAGUGCUCCAGCCUAGCCGCUCUGGGAGACGCGAUGAGAUGGUCAGGAGCUCGCAGCCCCACAGAACCAUCGUGAAGGUGACAGCCGCAGGUGGACAGGAAUGCGGAGCUCUGAGCCAGGACGCCACACCCCAACAGCGACACUGUCCAGAACGAUGAGGACGCUGCGCACCUGGUGGGAGGGGCUGAGCCCGGACGCUCACCCGAGGCUGUCUAACAUCCACCGAGUCUGCGCACGGCCUUCUCUCCUGUCGAUGAGAACUGGGCUGGCACCGGGGACCCAAAUACGAGAAGGGCACCUCUCAGGGGGACACCGACACCGGGAUGCUCCCUCCACAGCCUGUGCCCACAGUGGCCCUGGGAGAGGGGCACCCGCGCCACCCCUAUUUCACAGACGGGGAAACGGAAGCUGGGGGAGGCUGCCACUCACCCGAGGACGCAGAGCCAGGCAGAAAUCGCGUGCUGCGACAUGGACCGGCCCCACCACCCCAGCCCCGCGUGCAGGCAGGGCCCGCACAUCUGGACACCCCAGCCUCGGUGCCCCAUGCCAGCAGAGAGAGUGGCCGUGGGGCCUCCCCAGCAGGCGCCCGGCCCUGGAGCCUCCAGGAACCUCGCUCCCUAUCACAGUCAUGCACAGGGCCUGCCUCCCGCUCUCUGUCCCCUGGGGCAGGAAACAGCCCGGAGAGAGAUAAGGAGAAGAGAAGGAGGGGGGGCUCCGGGGAGAGGGCCCUCCCCACACACAGCAGAAGAAUAGAAGGAAACGGCUGGAGAGAGGCCAGCGUCUGCCCGGGGCAGGGGGUUAUCUUGGUCUAUAAAUAACCCCAGCUCCAGGCUCCCAGGACGGGGAGGGAAGGGACUGAGGCCGAGGGCCUGGACUCUGCGGUGGGCUUGGGGUGGGGGCGGCGGUCAUUCCUGUUGGCCAGGGAUUCAGACCAAAGGGCCAAAGGGGAUAAUGGCCCGACCUGGGACCCUAACCCUCACCUCCCGCUAGGGGGCUCUGACCCUGUACUUGACCAGGGGGUCCUGCAGCCCCCCGUUCCUCCCCCGUCCCCAUCCACUCACCUGUCCACCUACCCUUCCCGCCUCCCUCCCUGCCUCUGAGCUUCCCAUUUGCUGUUCCUUCUGUCUGCAACACUCUUCCUGCCCUCUUCACCUUGCUGACUCGCCCUCCAGGCCCCAGCCUAGGCGCACACUCUCCAGGAAGCCUUCUCGGACCCCCAGUCGGGGGUCAGGGUGGUAGCCGGUGGCGGCCGCAGCCCGGUCUUCCCUUCCCACAGCACUUAUCACAGUUACAUUUUCACACUCACGCCCCUCCCACCCCCGAGGGAGCUGAUGUUUCCACAGCGCCUAGGGCGACGCCUGGCACACAGUAGGGGCUCAAUAAAUUCGUUUGGUGUCUCCAUGUUCCAUCUGUCUUCCCUCUCUCCCCCCUCCUCCCCUCCUCCCUUCCUGAGUGCCGACCUCAGCCAGGCUGCUGUCGGUCCCUGCCCCUGAGGAUGGCUGAGCCUGGUGAGGGAGGAGAGAGGGGAGCGGAGGGGAGCAGGGCCAGGCCACAAAUCACACGACACAGGUGGAGAGAGAGACCCACCGACUCCUCGGACUUCAGACGACUGAGCUCUCUGUUCAGGGGGAGGGGGUGAGGAGGUAAUGAGGGUGGGCUUCAAGGAGG
ensembl:lncRNA